CUUGGUGCAGAGGGACGACCUCCUCAUCCUCACGGAGCCCAAGUGCAUGGUCAUGUCUGUCGUUAUCGCCCAUGGGGAGAAGAGGUCUUAAGAUGCACCUGCUGACCUGCUGAGAGAUUGGGGAAAGAAGUGUCUGAUGAUACACUUGCUGCUUGGUUGGGGGCUCAUCAAAGCCCCCAUAGGGGAGAGGUGAGGAGUGGGCCACAUACCUUUCUACGCAGCGGGUAAGAAGGAGCAGGAGGGGUUGCUCGAGGUGGCGAGGGGGCAUUACUGUGAGACGGGUGGGGCCAUGACAAGGGCCUGACAAUUGCUGUCAUGACCAGAGGCUUUGAGUUCUGUCUCCUUGUGGGGAACUGGAAGUCCCUCACCUAUUCCAAGGAGGCAAAGAGAAAAGGGUACAACCCACAAAACGUAUCCGUGGUCACAUUAUGUUGAAAUAGAGUGAGUACAUAUUUUCCCAUAAUGGUGGAAAUAGAAAUUUGGCUUUCAGUCAUGACCCAGUCACUGAUUUUCUGUCCUCUCUAUGGACAACCAUAAGUUUGCAUGAAAAACGUGCAAUAAUUAUUCCCUCCCAUUGUGCACCAGCAGGAGAUCCGCACAGGCACAGGAGGAAACUAUGAGCUCCUGGGAGAGAACCACGCAGACGGAGCAGGGGGAAACAGCCCUGGGGCUCCCACUCAGGAAGCUUUUCUCUUCUCAUUGGUUGAGAACGAAUAGAGUGUAACCAUCACCUGGGACAGCGGGGAAUGUUUUACUCAGUAAGCCCAACAAAGCUUCAAGACAAAAACCCAAAAGACCAAAGUUUGCAAAUGAGGUUCCUGCUAGCCACCUCAAGACACAUAUAAUGUUGAGCAGCGGAACACCCCAGGAGUGACACAGCAGUGGACCAGAGUAUCUUCAAUGCAGACUGAACUUUGGAAAUGAGGAGGCGUUUCAGAGCUUGUUUGCAGCGUUCCGUCAAUUUUCUACUGUCCAGCAAGGUGACCCCGUCAC